rnacentral:piRNA from 1 species
CGUGACUGUUCCUGGUAUUGAUU